rnacentral:rRNA from 1 species
CUCAGUUCGGAUUGGAGUCUGCAACCCGACUCCAUGAAGCUGGAUUCGCUAGUAAUCGCGCAUCAGCCACGGCGCGGUGAAUACGUUCCCGGGCCUUGUACACACCGCCCGUCAAGCCAUGGAAGCCGGGGGGUGCCUGAAGUGCGCUGCCGCAAGGAGCGCCCUAGGGUAAAACCGGUGACUGGGGCUAAGUCGUAACAAGGUAAC